AUCGGCGGUGUCUACCUCUUCCCAUUCCGAACAGAGCAGUCAAGCCCGCCAGAGCCGAUGGUACUGCCGUAAAAGGUGGGAGAGUAGGUCGGUGCCGAUU
rnacentral:rRNA from 1 species